AUGUGCCGAGGGUUUCAGCAAGGUGUACCGGUCAAUAUGGGACUCCAAAGUUUGACACCCCAAAUGUCUUAGAGUGUGACAUAACUCUCAGCAACAUUCAACGAAAUCUAUCCAGCACAUCUGAUUUGCUGCAGUUAGCGAGUAGUACUCAGAUUUUGACGUCAAAUCCAGAGACUCUAACAGCUGAUAAUGUUACCAAGGCGAUUGACAUCACCAACACCCUCCUUGAAAGGUCUUCAAAUAUCUCUGAGGCAGUUGCCGUGGCAGCAUUGACCACUGUUAGUCAGCUGCUGGAGGCUUCUGUACCGGACAGUGUAGCAGAGAUGUCUGGUGAGAGCCUAACUGAAAGUUUAGAGAAUAUCUCACUGGGGUCAGACAACACAUCUCUAGUGGUCCAGCCCAACCUUGCGGUCCAGUCUGUCGUACUAACCAGUAACGACAUAGU